rnacentral:rRNA from 1 species
CCUACGGGAGGCAGCAGUGAGGAAUAUUGGUCAAUGGUCUGACGACUGAACCAGCCAUGCCGCGUGAAGGUCACGGCCCUAUGGGCCUUAAACUUCUUUUGUAAGGGAGCAAUAAGCCUCACGUGUGGGGUGAUGAGAGUACCUUACGAAUAAGCAUCGGCUAACUCCUCCAGCAGCCGCGGUAAU